rnacentral:rRNA from 1 species
AGUGAACGCUGGCGGUAGGCCUAACACAUGCAAGUCGAACGGUAGCACAGUAAGAGCUUGCUCUUACGGGUGGCGAGUGGCGGACGGGUGAGGAAUACAUCGGAAUCUACUUUUUCGUGGGGGAUAACGUAGGGAAACUUACGCUAAUACCGCAUACGACCUACGGGUGAAAGCAGGGGAUCUUCGGACCUUGCGCGAUUGAAUGAGCCGAUGUCGGAUUAGCUAGUUGGCGGGGUAAAGGCCCACCAAGGCGACGAUCCGUAGCUGGUCUGAGAGGAUGAUCAGCCACACUGGAACUGAGACACGGUCCAGACUCCUACGGGAGGCAGCAGUGGGGAAUAUUGGACAAUGGGCGCAAGCCUGAUCCAGCCAUACCGCGUGGGUGAAGAAGGCCUUCGGGUUGUGAAGCCCUUUUGUUUGGAAAGAAAAGCAGCAGGUUAAUACCCCGCUGUUCUGACGGUACCCAAAGAAUAAGCACCGGCUAACUUCGUG